rnacentral:hammerhead_ribozyme from 1 species
AUCCAGCUGACGAGUCCCAAAUAGGACAAAACGAGCGCUCUGUAU